UACCCCUUUUUGAAAAUGAAAAUGGUUCUGGAUUUGAACCUUUGAAGUAGUGCAGAAGCUCCUAUUCUUUUGUAUAGAUACUUAAAGAUCUCUAUAGAAGAGUUCAACAGUAGACUCGCGAAGCUGUUAUUCUUGUAUGUCCUUUUUUGGAUAUCUCAUUUUUAUCGAUACACAUUUCACAGAACAGUGAAUACUUGUUAUAUUACUCUGUACUAUUCAACUGACAAGAGUAUCAUUUUGGUGCCUUUUCGCGUUUCUUG
rnacentral:misc_RNA from 1 species